rnacentral:rRNA from 1 species
GACGAACGCUGGCGGCGUGCUUAACACAUGCAAGUCGAACGGAAAGGCCCUGCUUUUGUGGGGUGCUCGAGUGGCGAACGGGUGAGUAACACGUGAGUAACCUGCCCUUGACUUUGGGAUAACUUCAGGAAACUGGGGCUAAUACCGGAUAGGAGCUCCUGCUGCAUGGUGUGGGUUGGAAAGUUUCGGCGGUUGGGGAUGGACUCGCGGCUUAUCAGCUUGUUGGUGGGGUAGUGGCUUACCAAGGCUUUGACGGGUAGCCGGCCUGAGAGGGUGACCGGCCACAUUGGGACUGAGAUACGGCCCAGACUCCUACGGGAGGCAGAAGUGGGGAAUAUUGCACAAUGGGCGGAAGCCUGAUGCAGCAACGCCGCGUGCGGGAUGACGGCCUUCGGGUUGUAAACCGCUUUCGCCUGUGACGAAGCGUGAGUGACGGUAAUGGGUAAAGAAGCACCGGCUAACUACGUG